GUUGGUUGGCCGGGUCACCGGACACAAUUUUUUAAACUAGAUACCCUAAUAAUGAUUGUGGCCAAGUUUGGUAAAAAUUGGCCCAGUAGUUUCAGAGGAGAAGAUUUUUGUAAAAGCUAACGACGGACGACGACGACGACGACGACGACGACGGACGACGGACGACGGACGCCGGACGCCGGACGCCGGACGCCGGACGCCGGACGCCAAGUGAUGAGAAAAGCUCACUUGGCCCUUCGGGCCAGGUGAGCUAAAAACGGG
rnacentral:lncRNA from 1 species